rnacentral:tRNA from 1 species
GCGCCCGUAGCUUAAUUGGUAAAGCAGUGGUCUCUAAAACCAUUUAUUCUCUGUCCGAAUCGGAGUGGGCGUGCCA